UACGGAGGGAGCAAGCGUUACUCGGAAUUAUUGGGCGUAAAGGGCGCGUAGGCGAUUCGAUAAGUCUCAUGUGAAAUCCCAGGGCCUAACCCUGGAAUGGCAUGGGAUACUGUUGGAUUUGAGUUCCGGAGAGGAAGGCAGAAUUCCCGGUGUAGCGGUGAAAUGCGUAGAUAUCGGGAGGAUGACCAGUGGCGAAGGCGGCCUUCUGGACGGGAUACUGACGCUGAGGCGCGAAAGCCAGGGGAGCAAAGCG
rnacentral:rRNA from 1 species